CUGCCCCCUCACCCCACGGCCUCCCCCCAGUAGUCCACAGUCGCCUCGUUCUCUUAAAGUGCUCCAACCUCUGCAGCUCCCCACCGAAGCUCUGCUUUCCUUAGCAAUCCUCAACUCAAAUAAAGGCCUUAAGCCCAGGUCAUACCCAUCUAAUUGCCAGCACAAACCUACAAAGGAGCUCACUCCAUCAAAUUAUUAAAAACCUGUUGUCCCAGAAAACUCCAAGGUAUCAGGCAUGCUGGGAGACAAGCCAGAGGCAUGGGAGCAAGCAGGAAAUUAAACAAAUGGCACAGGAGAAAGCGUGACAAGGGAGAUGGCCCCAUCACACAAGAGGAAAAACCAUUCUGUCUGUGUAGAAAGGCAAAGUCCACCUAAUGGGAAGGUGAGCCAGGAGCCAAGGACAGGCACAGCCUUACCAGGGCUUGUCACGAGGAGAUGCUGCAAGUUCUUGUGGAGGCUGAGUACAUGUGGCUGCUGUCCCUGGCUGCUCCCAGUCACGGCUGUGGGGCUGAGCUGGAAUCAAUCAGAGCCUGUGGAUGCGCCGUGACAAACUCCCUGUGCCCAGAGGCGAUGCUCCCAUAAAUCCUGUAAGCAUGUGCUUAACUUUGGGGAGCAAGGUGAUUGCAAUGCAAUAUUUUAUUCUUGUCAGCUUCAGUGUUAACAGUUACCAGAAUCACUUGGGUAAUUAAACCGUUGCAAGAAUAAAGUGAAAAAGCACCAGGUGUC